UGUUUCGGCAAGGGGGUCAUCCCGACUUACCAACCCGAUGCAAACUGCGAAUACCGGAGAAUGUUAUCACGGGAGACACACGGCGGGUGCUAACGUCCGUCGUGAAGAGGGAAACAACCCAGACCGCCAGCUAAGGUCCCAAAGUCAUGGUUAAGUGGGAAACGAUGUGGGAAGGCCCAGACAGCCAGGAUGUUGGCUUAGAAGCAGCCAUCAUUUAAAGAAAGCGUAAUAGCUCACUGGUCGAGUCGGCCUGCGCGGAAGAUGUAACGGGGCUAAACCAUGCACCGAAGCUGCGGCAGCGACGCUUAUGCGUUGUUGGGUAGGGGAGCGUUCUGUAAGCCUGUGAAGGUGUACUGUGAGGUAUGCUGGAGGUAUCAGAAGUGCGAAUGCUGACAUAAGUAACGAUAAAGCGGGUGAAAAGCCCGCUCGCCGGAAGACCAAGGGUUCCUGUCCAACGUUAAUCGGGGCAGGGUGAGUCGACCCCUAAGGCGAGGCCGAAAGGCGUAGUCGAUGGGAAACAGGUUAAUAUUCCUGUACUUGGUGUUACUGCGAAGGGGGGACGGAGAAGGCUAUGUUGGCCGGGCGACGGUUGUCCCGGUUUAAGCGUGUAGGCUGGUUUUCCAGGCAAAUCCGGAAAAUCAAGGCUGAGGCGUGAUGACGAGGCACUACGGUGCUGAAGCAACAAAUGCCCUGCUUCCAGGAAAAGCCUCUAAGCAUCAGGUAACAUCAAAUCGUACCCCAAACCGACACAGGUGGUCAGGUAGAGAAUACCAAGGCGCUUGAGAGAACUCGGGUGAAGGAACUAGGCAAAAUGGUGCCGUAACUUCGGGAGAAGGCACGCUGAUAUGUAGGUGAAGCGACUUGCUCGUGGAGCUGAAAUCAGUCGAAGAUACCAGCUGGCUGCAACUGUUUAUUAAAAACACAGCACUGUGCAAACACGAAAGUGGACGUAUACGGUGUGACGCCUGCCCGGUGCCGGAAGGUUAAUUGAUGGGGUUAGCGCAAGCGAAGCUCUUGAUCGAAGCCCCGGUAAACGGCGGCCGUAACUAUAACGGUCCUAAGGUAGCGAAAUUCCUUGUCGGGUAAGUUCCGACCUGCACGAAUGGCGUAAUGAUGGCCAGGCUGUCUCCACCCGAGACUCAGUGAAAUUGAACUCGCUGUGAAGAUGCAGUGUACCCGCGGCAAGACGGAAAGACCCCGUGAACCUUUACUAUAGCUUGACACUGAACAUUGAGCCUUGAUGUGUAGGAUAGGUGGGAGGCUUUGAAGUGUGGACGCCAGUCUGCAUGGAGCCGACCUUGAAAUACCACCCUUUAAUGUUUGAUGUUCUAACGUUGACCCGUAAUCCGGGUUGCGGACAGUGUCUGGUGGGUAGUUUGACUGGGGCGGUCUCCUCCUAAAGAGUAACGGAGGAGCACGAAGGUUGGCUAAUCCUGGUCGGACAUCAGGAGGUUAGUGCAAUGGCAUAAGCCAGCUUGACUGCGAGCGUGACGGCGCGAGCAGGUGCGAAAGCAGGUCAUAGUGAUCCGGUGGUUCUGAAUGGAAGGGCCAUCGCUCAACGGAUAAAAGGUACUCCGGGGAUAACAGGCUGAUACCGCCCAAGAGUUCAUAUCGACGGCGGUGUUUGGCACCUCGAUGUCGGCUCAUCACAUCCUGGGGCUGAAGUAGGUCCCAAGGGUAUGGCUGUUCGCCAUUUAAAGUGGUACGCGAGCUGGGUUUAGAACGUCGUGAGACAGUUCGGUCCCUAUCUGCCGUGGGCGCUGGAGAACUGAGGGGGGCUGCUCCUAGUACGAGAGGACCGGAGUGGACGCAUCACUGGUGUUCGGGUUGUCAUGCCAAUGGCACUGCCCGGUAGCUAAAUGCGGAAGAGAUAAGUGCUGAAAGCAUCUAAGCACGAAACUUGCC
rnacentral:rRNA from 1 species